CACAGAGUCAGAAAGGGACACCGCUGUUGACACUAAUGAAGGAUCCAUACAUUCUAAUCGCAGCUGGUGCCAUUUGUUUUGGAAAUAUGGCCAUUGCCAUGUUGGAGCCAACGCUGCCAAUCUGGAUGAUGGAGACCAUGUGUGCCAGGAAAUGGCAGCUAGGCGUCGCUUUCCUACCAGCGUCCAUUUCCUACCUUAUUGGAACCAACAUCUUCGGCACAUUGGCGCACAAGAUGGGGAGGUAGGGAGGGAAAUUAUCCUUAUCUUCUGUCUCUCUCUCCCACUGUGGAUGUGAUAUCUGUUUCCGCUCCUCUAAAUGAGUUUUCAGUGUUUUUAGUGUU